ACGUGUUAGGGGGCCGAUCGGGCGUGCGUGCCGCCGUUGAUCCGGUGCUGCAGUGAGGUGGUUGUCGCCUGUGUUGUGUGUGUGUGUGAGUGUGUGUGAGUGAGUGAGCGAGUGAGUGAGUGAGUGAGUGUGUGCGUGGGGGCACUCGGCUUGUUGUUGUCGGUGACUUCCCCCUUCCCUCCACCCCUCCCCUCCCCGGCCUCCCGCUGCAGUGGCCGCUCCCUGGGCCGUAGGAAAUGAGCGAUAACGAUGACAUCGAGGUGGAGAGCGACGAAGAGCAACCGAGGUUUCAAUCUGCGGCUGACAAACGGGCUCACCAUAAUGCACUGGAACGAAAACGUAGGGACCACAUCAAAGACAGCUUUCACAGUUUGCGGGACUCAGUCCCAUCACUCCAAGGAGAGAAGGCAUCCCGGGCCCAAAUCCUAGACAAAGCAACAGAGUAUAUCCAGUAUAUGCGAAGGAAAAACCAUACGCACCAGCAAGACAUCGAUGACCUCAAGCGGCAGAAUGCUCUUCUGGAGCAACAAGGGGAAAGCGAGAGCUGAUCAAGUUCUUUGUUCCUGGGGAAUUCACUUCUCUUCCUCCCUCAUGGAAGAUGCAAGUAAAAGGAAAUUCCGUGCACUGGAGAAGGCAAGAUCAAGUGCCCAACUGCAGACCAACUAUCCCUCCUCAGACAACAGCCUCUACACCAACGCCAAGGGCGGCACCAUCUCUGCCUUCGAUGGCGGUUCAGACUCCAGCUCAGAGUCCGAGCCUGAAGAGCCCCAGAGCAGGAAGAAACUCCGGAUGGAGGCCAGCUAAGCCAUGUGGGGCAGGCCAGCAAUAAAACUGUCGACUUUUCCGUCACAUCCUCCUUCAGUUCACCAUUAGAACCCUCAGAACCAUUGAGAAGACUCUUUAUUUUCCUUUUCUCUUUAUUAAUUGUUAUUUUUGCAUAGAAGCUCUUGGACAACAGCUCUCAUCCCCUUCCCUCUGUCCACUAUUUUUAAAUGUGUUCCCUUCAGGGGUUCCUGUCCCCACCAGAAAUUUUAAACCAAAACACCCUAACUUGGCAGCUCUUUCUGUGGAGGACAGACGGCCGGCCAGACCUCUGAGUACAUGGUGUCCUGCCCAUCCUACCAGCUCCUCCAGCCCUCAGAGCAUGUGCCUGGAGGACGCCUGCUCUGCUAGGCUCUCCUCCCAGAUCCCCCUCACCUCUGUUUGGUGGACUUUGUGAAUCUCUGAACUGCUCUGCUUUGACAAGAUGACCAGAUUGGAGUAAUCAGAGCUAAGCCCCUUUCCUUUGUAAGGAUUAUUUUUUGGAAAAGCUGUCUCUCCUGUUGAAAGGCCAGAUUCUUGAAGAAGUUUGUGUGGUAGUAAAGGAAAGCAGGGACAGGUUUGCAGCACCCUUGGCACGGCCACUCUCCAGCUGUUUAAGCCUGCACAGCCAGCCUUCCAGAAGGCCACGGGACGCUGGUACGUAUAGGAGCCGGCGGCUGGGAAACGGCUCUCAGGAGUGGGGGUGGCUAUGCGGGUGGGGCUGGGAGGGAGUUUUAGGUGGGGUAGAGGUUUUGUAUUAAGGGCCAGUGAUGAUGUUUUGAUAUUUAUUUCCUGCUACUGAAAUUUGAAUCUGAAUGAAAUGCCCCUAUUUCUGAUGAUGUCGAUAUUGUAAAGCGACAGAUUCAUAAAGUAAUGAUCAAAUCUUCAUUUCUUUCUGUGUGUAUUUCUAAGAAAUAGAGCCAACUAUUUUGUAUGUAAAUACCAAGAGCGACUUACCUGGUACUAAACCCACAGCCCAGUCCAGCCGCCCACCUGACCUCUUUCCUCCUGUCCUGGAACUUGUCGCCACUGUGUGAUCCAGCCCUGGCUCUGGCUGUGGUCAGCAGAUCCCAGUGAAGGGUUUCUCUUCUUUAGGCUUCGUCUCUUUGUCUUUUCCUGCUCUGUUGCCGCCAUUUGCUGUUUUCUAGUGUACACUUUGUAGUCUCAGUCGGUGUUUGAUUCCAUUCCAUGGAAAUAAAAAGUAUGUUGUACAUACUGCCCAAGAAUUGUCUUGCAAGUUAAGGCUUCCCCCUUUACUAUAAGAAUAUAAAAAUAAAGACUUAUUUUAUCCUUGUU